UUUUUUAAUGUUUAUGUAGAAUAUCUGAAAUUCCUGUAAUCUCUGUUACUUUUUUUUCUUUUCUGUUUCAGUAUAAAUAGUGAAUUUUUACUUAAGGAAGGUGUAUGUUAUUUCAGUAGAGUCCCGACAUGAAUUCCAAACUUUGCUUAUUUCUUGUUGUUAUUGCCCUUUUCGCUGCUUUAGCGACGGCAGAUCCAACACUAGGACUUAUAAAGGAGGUAGCUGACGAAGUACUGAGCACAUUUGGAGUGCACAAUGAUGAUGGAAGUGAUGUACAGACACAAACUGUGGUACACCAUCACCAUCACCAAUCAUAAUUGAACUGCGUUCGUAUUAUUCUCCAAAUCAAACUGGAUAUUUAUUUCGGAUUAAAAUUAAUUGACUACUGAAA